GAGGGAGCUUCAAGAAGAACUAGGGUGAUCCUCCCAAAGGAUGCAUUUGAGUUGAUAUUCGUUUUCUUGAAGAGUGUGUCACAAACAAUGGAAAGUUCAUCAAUAAUGAAUACAGCGAUGUAUACCUAGUAACAACUCUAGAGCCAAUUCCUCGAGAAGCCUUUACACUUCAGGAUACCGAAGUCUCUGAUGUAAAAUACAUUUCUUUUGGGGAAUAUAGAAGUCACCUAGCUGAAGCAGAUCCC